UACAGAGGGUGCAAGCGUUAAUCGGAAUUACUGGGCGUAAAGCGUGCGUAGACGGUAGCGUAAGUCGGGUGUGAAAGCCCCGGGCUCAACCUGGGAAUUGCAUUCGAAACUGCCGUGCUGGAGUGCGGAAGAGGUGAGUGGAAUUCCGCGUGUAGCAGUGAAAUGCGUAGAUAUGCGGAGGAACACCGAUGGCGAAGGCAAUCCCCUGGGCCUGCACUGACGCUCAUGCACGAAAGCGUGGGGAGCAAACAGG
rnacentral:rRNA from 1 species